UACGUAGGGGCAAGCGUUGUCCGGAUUUAUUGGGCGUAAAGAGCGUGUAGGCGGCCAUGUAGGUCCGGUGUGAAAACUCGAGGCUUAACCUCGAGAUGUCAUCGGAAACCAUUGCGUACGAGACGCGAAGAGGAGAGUGGAAUUCCUGGUGUAGCGGUGAAAUGCGCAGAUAUCAGGAAGAACACCCAGUGGCGAAGGCGGUCUCUG
rnacentral:rRNA from 1 species